rnacentral:tRNA from 1 species
AAUAAGGUGCCUGAAUUAAAAGGACUAUCUUGAUAGGAUAGAUCAUGCAAGAAAUUGCCCUUAUUA